rnacentral:rRNA from 1 species
UGGCUUGGGACCGGAAGAUCCAGAGGGUACGUCCGGGGUAGGAGUGAAAUCCCGUAAUCCUGGACGGACCACCGGUGGCGAAAGCGCUCUGGAAGGACGGAUCCGACGGUGAGGGACGAAAGCUCGGGUCACGAACCGGAUUAGAUACCCGGGUAGUCCGAGCUGUAAACGAUGUCUGCUAGGUGUGACACAGGCUACGAGCCUGUGUUGUGCCGUAGGGAAGCCGUGAAGCAGACCGCCUGGGAAGUACGUCCGCAAGGAUGAAACUUAAAGGAAUUGGCGGGGGAGCACUACAACCGGAGGAGCCUGCGGUUUAAUUGGACUCAACGCCGGACAUCUCACCAGCAUCGACAAUGUGCAGUGACGGUCAGUGUGAUGAGCUUACCUGAGCCAUUGAGAGGAGGUGCAUGGCCGCCGUCAGCUCGUACCGUGAGGCGUCCUGUUAAGUCAGGCAACGAGCGAGACCCACGUCCCUAAUUGCCAGCAGCACCCUUGUGGUGGCUGGGUACAUUAGGGAGACUGCCAGUGCCAAACUGGAGGAAGGAAUGGGCAACGGUAGGUCAGUAUGCCCCGAAUGUGCUGGGCGACACGCGGGCUACAAUGGCCACGACAGUGGGAUGCAACCCCGAAAGGGGACGCUAAUCUCCGAAACGUGGUCGUAGUUCGGAUUGAGGGCUGAAACUCGCCCUCAUGAAGCUGGAUUCGGUAGUAAUCGCGCCUCAGAAGGGCGCGGUGAAUACGUCCCUGCUCCUUGCACACACCGCCCGUCAAAGCACCCGAGUGAGGUCCGGAUGAGGCCGACGCAACGUCGGUCGAAUCUGGGCUUCGCAAGGGGGCUUAAGUCGUAACAAGGUAGCCGUAGGGGAAUCUGCGGCUGGAUCACCUCCA